CGGCUUAGAGGACCGCGGGGAAGGCGGGUGGCGGGUUCGGGGCGUGAAGCGGCGGGAGUGGCGCUGGCGGCGGCAACUGAGGCCGUGGCCGAAGCCGUGCGCAUUAAUAAUAAGCUACAGCAGCCAGAGUCAUCUGCUGGGGUGUCAGAAUAUGCCAUGAAGCACUCUGGAGAACUGUGGCUGUGAUAAAGGACAACUGACAGGCUGAUGCAGGUAGAAGUAAUCAGGCAAGCCUGGGUGAAAAGAAGAGUGGAAAAAACCCCACCGCCACAUGCGCUGUCGUCCUCCUGCUGAUCCUCAUUCAUGGAGAAAGAGAGACCUAAGGAAGAAAAAUGGACUUAAAUCAAAGCAGGAGAGAAUGCGAUGCGCAAUGAAGAACUUACCGAGACUGAGUGAAAUGUAGGGGAUCAAUCCCAGGACCAGGCCUGGCACGUCCGAGUUUUCAUCUCUCCCAUAUUCCUUUAGAAUGGAGUUUGGAAAUUCUUCUGACGCUGCCCUGCUUGCUGACAGAGUGGAGCCUGUGGCUGGCAGGGUCAUAAUCUAACAGACAAAAAACAGUGGAAAUACACAAAGUCACAGUCCUCCUGUCUCAGCCCAGACACUGUGCAGGCAAGAAAAGAGAGACUCGCCCCUGUAUCCCUCCCCACCUCCCCUGCUCUGGCCUAAGAUGACGCUGACUUCACCCAGCAGGCACCUGACCCUCCCCGAGGAGCUGGGAGGGCCUGAAGCACAGUGCAUGGCCCUGGUGGGGAUGGAGGUUAAGGAAGCAAACAACAUUUAAGAUGCUCAGUUUGCAGAGCAUUCAGGCUUGGGAAGGAGGGCUCUGAGAUACCCAAUGAAGCUCCACUUUCAGAAACUCUGACAGCUCUGAGGAGGACUAAGAAAGAGCAGGGAAAGGAAGAAAACAAGGAAGUGGUGAGACCAUCAGGAGCAAAGGUAAAAGGUGAUACUUUGCUGCUGUUCCGCAAACAACAACUGGCAAAUCCAGAUUUCCCUUAAAGGAAGAUCCUUCCUCAGCAAGGCCUAAGGAGGAUGCUGAAAAAGACUCUCAGCCGUGACCUGGCUCUGGGUUAUCAUUGCGGCCUUUGCCAGUCACCCAGUGUGGCCACAGAAGCUCCCUCAGCACAAGACACCCACACAGCUCAAUGUAGCAACCUGCUGUGAGGAGAUGAAGGAGCUCAAGGCCCAAACUGCCAACCUAAGGAGUCUGCUGAGUGAACUGAGCCAGGAGAAGGAGAGAGACUGAGAAGUGAGGGAGUACAGAAAGAGAGACUAAUCAAGGUCACAUGACAAAUCAAGAGAAAGUCUGAUCUAGGACUCGUGCUUUCUGAUUUCCAGGUUGCUGUGGAACAGGAGUAAACUAGACCCAGAGCUAUGAUAAAAGAUGCCUGGCUAUGGGCAUGCAGAGGGAGAAGAGAUACAGGGCUGGGUCUUCUCUGUGAGAUGAAAUGAAGCCCUGGGCGGUUUCUCUAAGGCUCUGACUUCCUGACAGGACUGGGAGGGCAACGUGCGCUAUGCUGAGUACAGCCACUUUGUUCUGGGCGAUGAAAUGAGCAGCUACCGCCUCUUCCUGGGGCACUACAGUGGCAGUGUGGAGAAUGACGCCCUCCUCUGUAACAACACGGCCUUCAGCACCAAGGACAAGGACAACUGCGGGGGAGGGGAAUGUGUGGAGAUCCUUAAAGGCAAAAUGCGUGGG